rnacentral:rRNA from 1 species
UGGUGGAGCGAUUUGUCUGGUCAAUUCCGAUAACGAACGAGACUCUAGCCUACUAAAUAGUUCGGCGAACCCACAGAGGGGCCCGCUUCAACUUCUUGGAGGGACAGGUGGCUCUUGGAGGGACAGGUGGCGUUUAAGCCACACGAGAUCGAGCAAUAACA